rnacentral:rRNA from 1 species
AGUGAACGCUGGCGGUAGGCCUAACACAUGCAAGUCGAACGGCAGCACAGGAGGGCUUGCUCUCUGGGUGGCGAGUGGCGGACGGGUGAGGAAUACAUCGGAAUCUACUUUUUCGUGGGGGAUAACGUAGGGAAACUUACGCUAAUACCGCAUACGACCUACGGGUGAAAGCAGGGGACCUUCGGGCCUUGCGCGAUUGAAUGAGCCGAUGUCGGAUUAGCUCGUUGGCGGGGUAAAGGCCCACCAAGGCGACGAUCCGUAGCUGGUCUGAGAGGAUAAUCAGCCAAACUGGAACCGAGACACGGUCCAGACUCCUACGGGAGGCAGCAGUGGGGAAUAUUGGACAAUGGGCGCAAGCCUGAUCCAGCCAUACCGCGUGGGUGAAGAAGGCCUUCGGGUUGUAAAGCCCUUUUGUUGGGAAAGAAAUCCAGCUGGCUAAUACCCGGUUGGGAUGACGGUACCCAAAGAAUAAGCACCGGCUAACUUCGUGCCAGCAGCCGCCGCCG